rnacentral:tRNA from 1 species
UGCGGGAUCGUCUAACGGUAGGACUCAGGAUUUUGGCUCCUGGUAUCGGGGUUCAAAUCCCUGUCCCGCAG